GUCAGUCGCGAAGCGCGCUAUCAGCGUACAGCUUUGGAGUUUCUUUUUAUUUAAAUGUCUUUUUAUUUCUGUUUACUUCUGUCAACUUCUUUUCGCUGUGUCGUCUGGUCUGGCCUGGUCGCCUGAAAGUCGUGAAACCGGCAAUUGAUGCCUUGUGAUCUCGUACGUGCUCUACUUUUAUUUCGUGUUUUUUGAAAACGUUUUCCAUACGUAUUUAUCGCAAUAAAACGGUUAUAUCUUUAUUUUAUGGAUAUUAUUUUAAUUACAACGCAGAUUGUACAAUUCACUUUCUAUAUUAUCUGCGACAUUGUUUGCCGAUAAUAUUUUCCAAAGUAAACACUCAGGAUUUUACGAUCAAUCAAUUAAUUCUGGAUCUUUUGAAACAUUGGAAAUUCUUAAAGUAAGCAAUGCCUAAAUCAGAAAUGGAGAAACUAAAACCGUCAUGGACAAUAGUUCAGUUUGCGGCAGAUAAUACUGUUGAAACAGUACCAUCAAGCUGGAUAGAACGCGACAAAUGCUACUGGCCUCCAUUUAAGUAUGAACAGAUUAUUGCCGCAAUUCGAAAAAACACAGAACAAAAUACAUGUUGGCCAUCUUACGACAUUAUUACGUUCCGGAACAGCACGUAUUAGCAGGUUAGUAGCAUUUCACUAAAAAAAAUAUUUAUAUUAUUAUUUAAUGUCAUUUUUCUAGGACUGAAAAGUAAUAUAUAUUGCUAUUGUUCAUUGUAAUGUAAGCAUUUAUUUGUAUAAUUUUAGAUGAUUACAAUACGGCAAGAUUGAAAACAAAAAAAGCUGAAUGUACAUUCGAUUUAAAUUCAGAGAUUGAGGCAGGUACAAAAAGAAAAAGGAUUAAAAAUCGAUUGUUUCCAAGUGAUACGAAUGAUAGCGAUUAGGAAAAUAGCGCCCCUACAAAACGAAAACAAACGAAAGGUUUGUUCCAUAAACAAAAAUUAUUUUCUAAAAUUAGUGUGUAAAUAUUAAAGUUUAUUGAUGUAUAAUGUAAUGUAUUUUAUAAAGAAUAUAUACUAAAUUAUAUUUUAAAUUAUUUCCUCAGAGGACGAAAUUCUGAAAAAGAAGGUUAAGGCUAAAGAUAUUUAUACUAGUGAAGAAUCUGAGGAGUCUGACAGCAUUCUUCCAAUUCCUCCAAAAAUAACAGAUACUGAUUAUUAUUUUGGUCUAAAAAAAUGUUUAAUUUAAAUUCCUGUGAAAUGAGUAUACUAAAAAAUAAAGAAUUUGAAAAAUUAUUAGAUAAGUUUAAUAUAAAAGAAAUGCUUGCUCUAUAUACAGAAUAGCUUAAAGAGUUCAUCAUGUUUACUUAAUGAGAUAAUCAUGUUUACUUAAUGUUUUAUUUAAAUAUUAACAUUUUUCAUAUAAUUUUCAAUUUUUUUUCUUUCUUUGACCUGACAUUAAGUUCAUAAAUUUAUUCUGUUGAAAAUGUAUAAUAAUAAAAAUUCUUUGCUUUUUUAUCUGUCAUGAUAUUAAACUUACACAUUAGGCCUUAGGGGAUGCCGAGUCGUAAAAGAAAAUAAAAUUUUAUUGAUUAAAUCUUCCACGCUAAAAA